GACGAACGCUGGCGGCGUGCCUAACACAUGCAAGUCGAACGGUGAAGCGCCUUCCUUUUUGGUGGGUGUGGAUGAGUGGCGAACGGGUGAGUAACACGUGAGUAACCUGCCCCCUUCUUCUGGAUAACCGCAUGAAAGUGUGGCUAAUACGGGAUAUUCUGGGUCUGUCGCAUGAUGGGUCUGGGAAAGAUAUUGUUUCGGUGGGGGAUGGGCUCGCGGCCUAUCAGCUUGUUGGUGGGGUGAUGGCCUACCAAGGCGGUGACGGGUAGCCGGCCUGAGAGGGUCGACGGUCACACUGGGACUGAGACACGGCCCAGACUCCUACGGGAGGCAGCAGUGGGGAAUAUUGCACAAUGGGCGCAAGCCUGAUGCAGCGACGCCGCGUGAGGGAUGGAGGCCUUCGGGUUGUGAACCUCUUUCGCCAGUGAAGCAGGCCUGCCUCGUUUGUGGGUGGGUUGACGGUAGCUGGAUAAGAAGCGCCGGCUAACUACGUG
rnacentral:rRNA from 1 species